rnacentral:lncRNA from 1 species
UAACUUCUGCUACCUAACAAGCAUGAAGAAAAUAAGAGCUAGAGAGAACUAAGUAUUUUCUGAUCAUCACAGAGUUUGUAAUACACUCCAUGAUGAUAUUACAAAUGAGGAUGCUUAAAUAAUGUAAAAAUAUGUCAAUCAAGAAGAAAGUUGAGUUACCAGCCUCAAACUUUCUAUUACUAAAGCAUGAAUUAAAAAAGAUUGAUUGCCCAUCAAAAGUAACUUGAAGUAUUUUUCUCUUGUCUUCUUCUUCAAACCUAUCCAACAACACUUGAUGAUUCAUACCUUCUUUAUGGAUUUAUUGGAUCUAGUUGAACCUAUUGAUACUGUCAAAUGGUUUUGCUUUGCCUAUCACAUCGGUAGGUGCCUUGGAACAAACUCCUCAGUCAUUUUACCGUCCCAACUAUGUUG